CAGUCCUACUAACACCUCUCUCUACAGUCAAUUUUCCUUCUCUUGUUGUCAACCUGAAGAACUCAUCCUCGGCUGCAUCAACGCACACCCCAUUCACAUCACAAAUCUCUCCCUUCGGUGAUAAUGGAAGCAAGGUAUGUAUAACAGGUUCAGACUUCACAAGUGACACAAAUUUUGUGUACAAAAGUUCCACUUUAUCAACCUCCUCACUUACAAACAGUGAAAAGACAUCAUCUGCUAUUGCUUGAGCUUCUUUAGCUGUAGGGAGACCACCUUUUUCAAGAAACCUAUCAACUGGAAUAUAAGGCCUACGAAGAAAAUAAGUGUUGCCCUUCU
rnacentral:lncRNA from 1 species